GUCAGCUCUGGUCUUCAUCUUACUGUCAUCAGAAAAAGAUCUGGAUGUGUUUGACCUGAAGAAAUACUCUGCUUCAGAGGAGGCUCUUCUGAGGCUGCUGCCAGUGGUCAAGGCCUCCAACAAUGCUCUACUGGCUGGCUGUAACCUCUCAGAGAGAAGCUGUGAAGCUCUGUGCUCAGUUCUCAACUCUACGUCUUUUAGUCUGGGAGAAUUGGACCUGAGUAACAAUGACCUGCUAGACGCAGGAGUAAAGCUGUUGUCUGCUGGAUUGAAGAGUCAAAACUGUUCACUGGAAACUAUCAGUCUGUCAGGCUGUCUGAUCACAGAGGAAGGCUGUACUUCUCUGGCCUCAGCUCUGA